GACGAACGCUGGCGGCGUGCUUAACACAUGCAAGUCGAACGGAAAGGCCCUGCUUUUGUGGGGUGCUCGAGUGGCGACCGGGUGAGUAACACGUGAGUAACCUGCCCUUGACUUUGGGAUAACUUCAGGAAACUGGGGCUAAUACCGGAUAGGAGCUCCUGCUGCAUGGUGGGGGUUGGAAAGUUUCGGCGGUUGGGGAUGGACUCGCGGCUUAUCAGCUUGUUGGUGGGGUAGUGGCUUACCCAGGCUUUGACGGGUAGCCGGCCUGAGAGGGUGACCGGCCACAUUGGGACUGAAAUACGGCCCGGACCCCUACGGGAGGCAGCGGUGGGGAAUAGUGCACAAUGGGCGGAAGCCUAAUGCAGCAACGCCGCGUGCGGGAUGACGGCCUUCGGUUUGUAAACCGCUUUCGCCUGUGACGAAGCGUGAGUGACGGUAAUGGGUAAAGAAGCACCGGCUAACUACGUG
rnacentral:rRNA from 1 species